CCUACGGGUGGCUGCAGUGGGGAGUAUUGGACUAUGGGCGAAAGCCUGAUCCAGCCAUGCCGCGUGUGUGAAGAAGGCCUUCGGGUUGUAAAGCACUUUCAGUGGGGAAGAAAGCCUUGGGGCUAAUACCCUCGAGGAAGGACAUCACCCACAGAAGAAGCACCGGCUAACUCCGUGCCAGCAGCCGCGGUAAUACGGAGGGUGCGAGCGUUAAUCGGAAUUACUGGGCGUAAAGCGCGCGUAGGCGGUCUGAUAAGCCGGUUGUGAAAGCCCCGGGCUCAACCUGGGAACGGCAUCCGGAACUGUCAGGCUAGAGUGCAGGAGAGGAAGGUAGAAUUCCCGGUGUAGCGGUGAAAUGCGUAGAGAUCGGGAGGAAUACCAGUGGCGAAGGCGGCCUUCUGGACUGACACUGACGCUGAGGUGCGAAAGCGUGGGUAGCAAACAGGAUUAGAUACCCUAGUAGUC
rnacentral:rRNA from 1 species